rnacentral:rRNA from 2 species
GGGGAAUGGCGGCGUGCUAUACAUGCAGUCGAGCGGACAGAAGGGAGCUUGCUCCCGGAUGUUAGCGGCGGACGGGUGAGUAACACGUGGGUAACCUGCCUGUAAGACUGGGAUAACUCCGGGAAACCGGAGCUAAUACCGGAUAGUUCCUUGAACCGCAUGGUUCAAGGAUGAAAGACGGUUUCGGCUGUCACUUACAGAUGGACCCGCGGCGCAUUAGCUAGUUGGUGGGGUAAUGGCUCACCAAGGCGACGAUGCGUAGCCGACCUGAGAGGGUGAUCGGCCACACUGGGACUGAGACACGGCCCAGACUCCUACGGGAGGCAGCAGUAGGGAAUCUUCCGCAAUGGACGAAAGUCUGACGGAGCAACGCCGCGUGAGUGAUGAAGGUUUUCGGAUCGUAAAGCUCUGUUGUUAGGGAAGAACAAGUGCGAGAGUAACUGCUCGCACCUUGACGGUACCUAACCAGAAAGCCACGGCUAACUACGUGCCAGCAGCCGCGGUAAUACGUAGGUGGCAAGCGUUGUCCGGAAUUAUUGGGCGUAAAGGGCUCGCAGGCGGUUUCUUAAGUCUGAUGUGAAAGCCCCCGGCUCAACCGGGGAGGGUCAUUGGAAACUGGGAAACUUGAGUGCAGAAGAGGAGAGUGGAAUUCCACGUGUAGCGGUGAAAUGCGUAGAGAUGUGGAGGAACACCAGUGGCGAAGGCGACUCUCUGGUCUGUAACUGACGCUGAGGAGCGAAAGCGUGGGGAGCGAACAGGAUUAGAUACCCUGGUAGUCCACGCCGUAAACGAUGAGUGCUAAGUGUUAGGGGGUUUCCGCCCCUUAGUGCUGCAGCUAACGCAUUAAGCACUCCGCCUGGGGAGUACGGUCGCAAGACUGAAACUCAAAGGAAUUGACGGGGGCCCGCACAAGCGGUGGAGCAUGUGGUUUAAU